GACGAACGCUGGCGGCGUGCCUAAUACAUGCAAGUCGAACGCUUCUUUCCUCCCGAGUGCUUGCACUCAAUUGGAAAGAGGAGUGGCGGACGGGUGAGUAACACGUGGGUAACCUACCCAUCAGAGGGGGAUAACACUUGGAAACAGGUGCUAAUACCGCAUAACAGUUUAUGCCGCAUGGCAUAAGAGUGAAAGGCGCUUUCGGGUGUCGCUGAUGGAUGGACCCGCGAUGCAUUAGCUAGUUGGUGAGGUAACGGCUCACCAAGGCCACGAUGCAUAGCCGACCUGAGAGGGUGAUCGGCCACACUGGGACUGAGACACGGCCCAGACUCCUACGGGAGGCAGCAGUAGGGAAUCUUCGGCAAUGGACGAAAGUCUGACCGAGCAACGCCGCGUGAGUGAAGAAGGUUUUCGGAUCGUAAAACUCUGUUGUUAGAGAAGAACAAGGACGUUAGUAACUGAACGUCCCCUGACGGUAUCUAACCAGAAAGCCACGGCUAACUACGUG
rnacentral:rRNA from 1 species